GUGGUCGCGGCAUGGCUGCACGAAAGAAAGAGGAUUCGUCGAAACAACGUUAUCAAGCGAACGCGCGCGAAAGGGACCGCACACAUAGUAUCAUUGAUAUAUAUGUAUGUAUAUCGAUCGUCGGAGAGCUCGG